CAUAGAUUAUAUGACUGACGGAACAGUGGGUGCAACCACGUGAAGUAUAAUCGCUAAAACAAGCCGACCGUCUGGGCAGAAAAA
rnacentral:ncRNA from 2 species